GGUCAAUGAUGAACUGGCAUGUAUUCUGAAUCCAAAGCUGAUUAUUACUGCUUUAAGAUGCUGG